rnacentral:rRNA from 1 species
AGUGAACGCUGGCGGUAGGCCUAACACAUGCAAGUCGAACGGCAGCACAGUAAGAGCUUGCUCUUACAGGUGGCGAGUGGCGGACGGGUGAGGAAUACAUCGGAAUCUACUUUUUCGUGGGGGAUAACGUAGGGAACCUUACGCUAAUACCGCAUACGACCUACGGGUGAAAGCAGGGGAUCUUCGGACCUUGCGCGAUUGAAUGAGCCGAUGUCGGAUUAGCUAGUUGGCGGGGUAAAGGCCCACCAAGGCGACGAUCCGUAGCUGGUCUGAGAGGAUGAUCAGCCACACUGGAACUGAGACACGGUCCAGACUCCUACGGGAGGCAGCAGUGGGGAAUAUUGGACAAUGGGCGCAAGCCUGAUCCAGCCAUACCGCGUGGGUGAAGAAGGCCUUCGGGUUGUAAAGCCCUUUUGUUGGGAAAGAAAAGCAGCAGGUUAAUACCCCGCUGUUCUGACGGUACCCAAAGAAUAAGCACCGGCUAACUUCGUG